GACGAACGCUGGCGGCGUGCUUAACACAUGCAAGUCGAACGAUGAAGCCGGAGCUUGCUCUGGUGAAUUAGUGGCGAACGGGUGAGUAACACGUGAGUAACCUGCCCUUGACUCUGGGAUAACUGCGGGAAACUGUAGCUAAUACCGGAUACGACCCUCGGAGGCAUCUCCUGGGGGUGGAAAGAAUUUCGGUCAAGGAUGGACUCGCGGCCUAUCAGCUAGUUGGUGAGGUAAAGGCUCACCAAGGCGACGACGGGUAGCCGGCGUGAGAGGGUGACCGGCCACACUGGGACUGAGACACGGCCCAGACUCCUACGGGAGGCAGCAGUGGGGAAUAUUGCACAAUGGGCGCAAGCCUGAUGCAGCAACGCCGCGUGAGGGAUGACGGCCUUCGGGUUGUAAACCUCUCUUAGCAGGGAAGAAGCGAAAGUGACGGUACCUGCAGAAAAAGCACCGGCUAACUACGUGCCAGCAGCCGCAGUAA
rnacentral:rRNA from 1 species